UAUGUAUGACAAUGUUUCUUCGCAGUUUUCCCUUACCUUCACAGGAACCUACUCAUUUAUACCAGUCCGGUGACAAGGUGUAUAUCCGUCAGCUGAACAGGACCAAGAAAGGAGGAUACCCUUUUGGACCACCUGCUACUGUGAUUGCUGUAACCAGAACCGCUGUCCUCACAGAUUCCCACGACAUCUGGAUUCACGCAUCCCGAGUGAAGCUGUGUCCAAAGAGGGGAACCAAGGAAGACAAGACCACUCCUCGCUCGGAAACAGAAGAAUUUCUCCUCAGCGAAGCAUCAUGGCUUUUACACCAUAUCGUAGAUUGAGAGGAUCAUACGUACCUGAGACCAAGAUUAUGUUGUGCGCUAUGCUUUCUGGAGUUGUUAUACUCCCUCUGAUAUUGUUCCUUGAAUGCCAUUAUGAGUACAAGUCAAUGGCAAGUUCUGGAAAAAGACUCUGACAUGAUGAACAAUUCUUCAAUACCCCCAGCCCAAUUAGGCCUUAGCCCCUCAUCUAGCAUUCGUCACACACGCUCCCUCAAGAACCUUUCUCCACCACCUAUCUAUCAGCAUGUAAUAUGCAAGCACUCAUUGACUGAACACAUAUGGAUGAACUGGAUAAAUAAUAACCCUUAUAAGUACCAGUUACCCAUAUGGAAUGUGUCCACAGCUAAUGAAACCAAUGCAUUAUGUUUGUUUGAAGGUUCACGGAAAAUUGUUAGAUCUUAUAUCACAGGAACUUGCACAAUUAAGGUUGCAUAUCAAUGUAAACAGACAGGCCUUAUUACUUUUAAUAAUGAUUAUACAACUG